rnacentral:rRNA from 1 species
AUACAUGCAACUCGAGCGGACAGAAGGGAGCUUGCUCCCGGAUGUUAGCGGCGGACGGGUGAGUAACACGUGGGUAACCUGCCUGUAAGACUGGGAUAACUCCGGGAAACCGGAGCUAAUACCGGAUAGUUCCUUGAACCGCAUGGUUCAAGGAUGAAAGACGGUUUCGGCUGUCACUUACAGAUGGACCCGCGGCGCAUUAGCUAGUUGGUGAGGUAACGGCUCACCAAGGCGACGAUGCGUAGCCGACCUGAGAGGGUGAUCGGCCACACUGGGACUGAGACACGGCCCAGACUCCUACGGGAGGCAGCAGUAGGGAAUCUUCCGCAAUGGACGAAAGUCUGACGGAGCAACGCCGCGUGAGUGAUGAAGGUUUUCGGAUCGUAAAGCUCUGUUGUUAGGGAAGAACAAGUGCAAGAGUAACUGCUUGCACCUUGACGGUACCUAACCAGAAAGCCACGGCUAACUACGUGCCAGCAGCCGCGGUAAUACGUAGGUGGCAAGCGUUGUCCGGAAUUAUUGGGCGUAAAGGGCUCGCAGGCGGUUUCUUAAGUCUGAUGUGAAAGCCCCCGGCUCAACCGGGGAGGGUCAUUGGAAACUGGGAAACUUGAGUGCAGAAGAGGAGAGUGGAAUUCCACGUGUAGCGGUGAAAUGCGUAGAGAUGUGGAGGAACACCAGUGGCGAAGGCGACUCUCUGGUCUGUAACUGACGCUGAGGAGCGAAAGCGUGGGGAGCGAACAGGAUUAGAUACCCUGGUAGUCCACGCCGUAAACGAUGAGUGCUAAGUGUUAGGGGGUUUCCGCCCCUUAGUGCUGCAGCUAACGCAUUAAGCACUCCGCCUGGAGCCGAACG